rnacentral:rRNA from 1 species
CCUACGGGUGGCAGCAGUGGGGAAUAUUGGACAAUGGGCGAAAGCCUGAUCCAGCCAUGCCGCGUGUGUGAAGAAGGCCUUCGGGUUGUAAAGCACUUUCAGUGGGGAAGAAAGCCUUGGGGCUAAUACCCUCGAGGAAGGACAUCACCCACAGAAGAAGCACCGGCUAACUCCGUGCCAGCAGCCGCGGUAAUACGGAGGGUGCGAGCGUUAAUCGGAAUUACUGGGCGUAAAGCGCGCGUAGGCGGUCUGAUAAGCCGGUUGUGAAAGCCCCGGGCUCAACCUGGGAACGGCAUCCGGAACUGUCAGGCUAGAGUACAGGAGAGGAAGGUAGAAUUCCUGGUGUAGCGGUGAAAUGCGUAGAGAUCGGGAGGAAUACCAGUGGCGAAGGCGGCCUUCUGGACUGACACUGACGCUGAGGUGCGAAAGCGUGGGUAGCAAACAGGAUUAGAUACCCGUGUAGCC